UGGGGAAUAUUGGACAAUGGGCGAAAGCCUGAUCCAGCAACGCCGCGUGGAGGAUGAAGUAUUUCGGUAUGUAAACUUCGAAAGAAUAGGAAGAAUAAAUGACGGUACUAUUUAUAAGGUCCGGCUAACUACGUGCCAGCAGCCGCGGUAAUACGUAGGGACCAAGCGUUGUUCGGAUUUACUGGGCGUAAAGGGCGCGUAGGCGGCAAUUCAAGUCAUCUGUGAAAUCUCCGGGCUUAACUCGGAACGGUCAGAUGAUACUGCUUUGCUAGAGUGCAGAAGGGGCAAUCGGAAUUCUUGGUGUAGCGGUGAAAUGCGUAGAUAUCAAGAGGAACACCUGAGGUGAAGACGGGUUGCUGGGCUGACACUGACGCUGAGGCGCGAAAGCCAGGGGAGCAAACGGGAUUAGAUACCCCCGUAGUCCCUGAGCGGGCUGGCAAGGCGCAU
rnacentral:rRNA from 1 species